GGGUUGUGAGGUUAAGCGACUAAGCGUACACGGUGGAUGCCCUGGCAGUCAGAGGCGAUGAAGGACGUGCUAAUCUGCGAAAAGCGUCGGUAAGGUGAUAUGAACCGUUAUAACCGGCGAUGUCCGAAUGGGGAAACCCAGUGCAAUUCGUUGCACUAUCGUUAACUGAAUACAUAGGUUAACGAGGCGAACCGGGGGAACUGAAACAUCUAAGUACCCCGAGGAAAAGAAAUCAACCGAGAUUCCCCAGUAGCGGCGAGCGAACGGGGAGCAGCCCAGAGUCUGAAUCAGCUUGUGUGUUAGUGGAACGGUCUGGAAAGUCCGACGGUACAGGGUGAUAGUCCCGUACACCAAAAUGCACAGGUUGUGAACUCGAAGAGUAGGGCGGGACACGUGGUAUCCUGUCUGAAUAUGGGGGACCAUCCUCCAAGGCUAAAUACUCCUGACUGACCGAUAGUGAACCAGUACCGUGAGGGAAAGGCGAAAAGAACCCCGGCGAGGGGAGUGAAAAAGAACCUGAAACCGUGUACGUACAAGCAGUGGGAGCACCUUCGGGUGUGACUGCGUACCUUUUGUAUAAUGGGUCAGCGACUUAUAUUCUGUAGCAAGGUUAACCGUAUAGGGGAGCCGCAGGGAAACCGAGUCUUAACUGGGCGUUAAGUUGCAGGGUAUAGACCCGAAACCCGGUGAUCUAGCCAUGGGCAGGUUGAAGGUUGGGUAACACUAACUGGAGGACCGAACCGACUAAUGUUGAAAAAUUAGCGGAUGACUUGUGGCUGGGGUGAAAGGCCAAUCAAACCGGGAGAUAGCUGGUUCUCCCCGAAAGCUAUUUAGGUAGCGCCUCGUGAACUCAUCUUCGGGGUAGAGCACUGUUUCGGCUAGGGGGUCAUCCCGACUUACCAACCCGAUGCAAACUACGAAUACCGAAGAAUGUUAUCACGGGAGACACACGGCGGGUGCUAACGUCCGUCGUGAAGAGGGAAACAACCCAGACCGCCAGCUAAGGUCCCAAAGUCAUGGUUAAGUGGGAAACGAUGUGGGAAGGCACAGACAGCCAGGAUGUUGGCUUAGAAGCAGCCAUCAUUUAAAGAAAGCGUAAUAGCUCACUGGUCGAGUCGGCCUGCGCGGAAGAUGUAACGGGGCUAAACCAUGCACCGAAGCUGCGGCAGCGACACUAUGUGUUGUUGGGUAGGGGAGCGUUCUGUAAGCCUGCGAAGGUGUGCUGUGAGGCAUGCUGGAGGUAUCAGAAGUGCGAAUGCUGACAUAAGUAACGAUAAAGCGGGUGAAAAGCCCGCUCGCCGGAAGACCAAGGGUUCCUGUCCAACGUUAAUCGGGGCAGGGUGAGUCGACCCCUAAGGCGAGGCCGAAAGGCGUAGUCGAUGGGAAACAGGUUAAUAUUCCUGUACUUGGUGUUACUGCGAAGGGGGGACGGAGAAGGCUAUGUUAGCCGGGCGACGGUUGUCCCGGUUUAAGCAUGUAGGCUGGUUAUCCAGGCAAAUCCGGAUAAUCAAGGCUGAGGUGUGAUGACGAGGCACUACGGUGCUGAAGUAACAAAUGCCCUGCUUCCAGGAAAAGCCUCUAAGCAUCAGGUAACAUCAAAUCGUACCCCAAACCGACACAGGUGGUCAGGUAGAGAAUACCAAGGCGCUUGAGAGAACUCGGGUGAAGGAACUAGGCAAAAUGGUGCCGUAACUUCGGGAGAAGGCACGCUGGUGUGUAGGUGAAGUCCCUGCGGAUGGAGCUGAGACCAGUCGAAGAUACCAGCUGGCUGCAACUGUUUAUUAAAAACACAGCACUGUGCAAACACGAAAGUGGACGUAUACGGUGUGACGCCUGCCCGGUGCCGGAAGGUUAAUUGAUGGGGUUAUCCGUAAGGAGAAGCUCUUGAUCGAAGCCCCGGUAAACGGCGGCCGUAACUAUAACGGUCCUAAGGUAGCGAAAUUCCUUGUCGGGUAAGUUCCGACCUGCACGAAUGGCGUAAUGAUGGCCAGGCUGUCUCCACCCGAGACUCAGUGAAAUUGAACUCGCUGUGAAGAUGCAGUGUACCCGCGGCAAGACGGAAAGACCCCGUGAACCUUUACUAUAGCUUGACACUGAACAUUGAGCCUUGAUGUGUAGGAUAGGUGGGAGGCUUUGAAGCGUGGACGCCAGUCUGCGUGGAGCCAACCUUGAAAUACCACCCUUUAAUGUUUGAUGUUCUAACGUUGGCCCCUGACCGGGGUUGCGGACAGUGUCUGGUGGGUAGUUUGACUGGGGCGGUCUCCUCCCAAAGCGUAACGGAGGAGCACGAAGGUUAGCUAAUCCUGGUCGGACAUCAGGAGGUUAGUGCAAUGGCAUAAGCUAGCUUGACUGCGAGCGUGACGGCGCGAGCAGGUGCGAAAGCAGGUCAUAGUGAUCCGGUGGUUCUGAAUGGAAGGGCCAUCGCUCAACGGAUAAAAGGUACUCCGGGGAUAACAGGCUGAUACCGCCCAAGAGUUCAUAUCGACGGCGGUGUUUGGCACCUCGAUGUCGGCUCAUCACAUCCUGGGGCUGAAGUAGGUCCCAAGGGUAUGGCUGUUCGCCAUUUAAAGUGGUACGCGAGCUGGGUUUAGAACGUCGUGAGACAGUUCGGUCCCUAUCUGCCGUGGGCGCUGGAGAAUUGAGGGGGCUGCUCCUAGUACGAGAGGACCGGAGUGGACGCAUCACUGGUGUUCGGGUUGUCAUGCCAAUGGCACUGCCCGGUAGCUAAAUGCGGAAGAGAUAAGUGCUGAAAGCAUCUAAGCACGAAACUUGCCCCGAGAUGAGUUCUCCCUGAGACUAUAAGUCUCCUGAAGGAACGUUAAAGACGAUGACGUUGAUAGGCCGGGUGUGUAAGCGCAGCGAUGCGUUGAGCUAACCGGUACUAAUGAACCGUGAGGCUUAACCUUACAACGCCGAAG
rnacentral:rRNA from 1 species